CAGCCAUGGCACUAACUAGGUGACUCUGGGCCAGUCACAGCCUCUCAGCCCAGCCUACCUCACAGCGUUAUUGUUCUGGGGAGAAGAUUUAGAGCAGGAGGAAGAGAAUGAUGUAGUCCAUUUUAAGUUCUUUAAAAAGGUCAGUCGAUAAAUCUCAUAAAUAAAUAAAUAAAUAAAUAAAUGCCCAGCCCAAGAAGGGACCUGCCUUACUUUGCCUAUUUAUAUGCCUGUAUUUUGUAAAUCUGGAUUUUUCUACUUAAGCUGCCAUUUUCAGUUUGUUGUAGCUCAAAAACUAUUUUGA